rfam:Nomascus leucogenys chromosome 16, whole genome shotgun sequence.
CUGCCAAUAUUCUCAUUGCUCUGAUUUUGUAAUAGUCAGGACAGCCUAAACAUUUGCUAUAUUUUUUAAAU